ensembl:misc_RNA Metazoa_SRP Metazoan signal recognition particle RNA
GCUGGGCGUGGUGGCACAUGCCUGUAAUCCCAGCUACUCGGGAGGCUGAGGCAGGAGAAUCGCUUGAACCCAGGAGGCAGAGGUUGCAGUGAGCCAAGAUCGCACCACUGCACUCCACCCUGGGUGAUAGAGUGAGACUCUGUCUCAA